rnacentral:rRNA from 1 species
UACGAAGGGGGGCUAGCGUUGCUCGGAAUCACUGGGCGUAAAGCGCACGUAGGCGGCUUUCUAAGUCAGGGGUGAAAUCCUGGAGCUCAACUCCAGAACUGCCUUUGAUACUGAAGAUCUUGAGUUCGGGAGAGGUGAGUGGAACUGCGAGUGUAGAGGUGAAAUUCGUAGAUAUUCGCAAGAACACCAGUGGCGAAGGCGGCUCACUGGGUCAUUACUGACGCUGAGGCACGAAAGCGUGGGGAGCAAACAGG